UACGUAGGUGGCAAGCGAUACUCGGAAUCACUAGGCGUAAAGCGCAGGUAGGAGGUUUGGUAAGUCUGUUGUGAAAGCUCCCGGCUUAACUGGGAGAGGUCAACGGAAACUACCAGGCUAGAGUGCGGUAGAGGUAGCUGGAAUUCCCGGUGUAGCGGUGAAAUUCGUAGAUAUCGGGAGGAACACCGGUGGCGAAGGCGGCGACCUGGGUCGAGACUGACGCUGAGGCGCGACAGCGUGGGGAGCGAACAGG
rnacentral:rRNA from 1 species